rnacentral:misc_RNA from 1 species
CAACAUUAUCAAAAAAACCUCAUCGCGUCUUUCCCCCGUCUGUCCUUUCUGUCGCGUUCAGUUUGCGAACGACGAUAUCCGCCUCAUCCGGAUCGACUAUGGCAGCGGCUGGUCGACUCCCAAGCGUACCACUAUCGAGGCUCAUGCCAUCCCCAGCAUCGAUGUCGGCGAGGACGACGUUCUUCUCCUCAACCCCGGUACCCCGAG